rnacentral:rRNA from 1 species
AGAGUUUGAUCCUGGCUCAGGAUGAACGCUGGCGGCGUGCUUUAUGCAUGCAAGUCGAACGGUCCCGAUUUAUCGGGACAGUGGCGGAUGGGUGAGUAACGCGUAAGUAACCUGCCCUAAAGUGGGGGAUAACCCUGGGAAACUGGGGCUAAUACCGCAUGUGGUGGUAGGGUGAUGCUCUAUCACUAAAGCCUUCGGGCGCUUAAGGAGGGGCUUGCGUCUGAUUAGCUAGUUGGUAGGGUAAUGGCCUACCAAGGCAGUGAUCGGUAGCUAGUCUGAGAGGACGGUCAGCCACACUGGGACUGAGAUACGGCCCAGACUCCUACGGGAGGCAGCAGCAAGGAAUUUUGUGCAAUGGGCGAAAGCCUGACACAGCGACGCCGCGUGGGGGAUGAAGGCCUUCGGGUCGUAAACCCCUUUUCUCAGGGAAGAACAAUGACGGUACCUGGGGAAUAAGCCUUGGCUAACUACGUGCCAGCAGCCGCGGUAAUACGUAGAAGGCGAGCGUUAUUCGGAUUUACUGGGCGUAAAGAGGGCGUAGGCGGUCUUUCAAGUCGGAUGUGAAAUCUCUCGGCUUAACCGAGAGGGGUCAUCCGAUACUGAUGGGCUAGAGGGCAGCAAGAGGAAGUGGAAUUCCCGGUGUAGUGGGUGAUAUGCGUAGAUAUCGGGAGGAACACCAGUGGCGAAGGCGGCCUUCUGGGCUGUUUCUGACGCUGAGGCCCAAAAGCGUGGGGAGCGAACAGGAUUAGAUACUCUGGUAGUCCACACUGUAAACGAUGGAUACUAGGUAUGGGGAGUAUCGACCCUCUCCGUGCCGAAGCUAACGCUUUAAGUAUCCCGCCUGGGGACUACGGCCGCAAGGCUAAAACUCAAAGGAAUUGACGGGGGCCCGCACAAGCAGCGGAGCGUGUGUUUAAUUCGAUGCACGCGAAGAACCUUACCAAGGCUUGACAUGUCGAGUAGCGACCCGAAAGGGAAGCCACCUGUUAAGUCAGAGCGUCACAGUGCUGCAUGCUGUCGUCAGCUCGUGCCGUGAGGUGUCGUAGUCCUGCACGAGGCGCACCUCGUCGCUAGUGGAUUCCUCUAGCGAGAACUGCCUGCAACGGGGAGGAAGGUGGGGGAUGACCUCAAGUCAGCAUGCCUUAUGUCUUGGCUCACACACGCUCAAUGGG